UACAGAGGUCUCAAGCGUUGUUCGGAAUCACUGGGCGUAAAGGGUGCGUAGGCUGCACGGUAAGUCAGAGGUGAAAUCCCGGGGCUCAACCCCGGAAUUGCCUCCGAUACUGCCGUGCUUGAGGACUGGAGAGGAGUCUGGAAUUCACAGUGGAGCAGUGAAAUGCGUAGAUAUUGUGAGGAACACUAGUGGCGAAGGCGAGACUCUGGACAGUUCCUGACGCUGAGGCACGAAGGCCAGGGGAGCAAACGGG
rnacentral:rRNA from 1 species